AGAAGGGGACAGACCCUGUAGCAGAGUCUGUGGUAACAGAACAAGGGAAAAUGGUCUCAAACUAAGAGAGGGAUUUAGACUGGAUAGAAAGAAAAUGUUUUUUUACAGUAAGGAUUGCCCAGAGAGGUGAUAGAUGCCCCAUCCUUGGAGACUUUCAAGGUGAGGUUAGAUGGGGAUCUGAGCAACCUGAUCGAACAGUAGCUAUGUUACUCUUCACUAUAAGAGAGUUGGACUAGAUGACCUUUAAGAGUCUGUUCCAUCUCAAACAAUUCUAGGGUUCUACUAUGAUGUUACAGGGCUGCAACACCUGGCCUGUAACACCCUGGCAAGAACCCAAUGUUUCGCACCUUAGGGACAAAGUACAGUCACAGGCUUAUCCAAAGGAAAUCUUACUACUCACUUCCAACCCUCCUGGACACUUUGAAGCUGAAAUGUUCUUCGCAGCUAAAGUCUACAAACCCACUCAAAGGGCAUAGUGCUGGUUAUGAACAUGGCCUACCUAGUGUAUGUUCUCAGAGCCCAGACUUUAAUUCAGAUGAGCCAGAAAUAAAACAGUUGGCCAAGAGGAAAAACAAACAAACAGAACUCCCGCCCCCCCCCACGCAACAGGCUUUUCCAGAACAACCUACUGCUCUGCCUGCACCUCAUGUGUCAUGCUGAAUCACAGAAGAGCAGUGACUCACAGAGAAAACAAAAUAUCCCACUGCUAAACUAGAGACGUUAUCCUCCAUGGAGUAUGUGAUUGUGAUAUAUCCCCCUUCACCAUUCCUUCUUCAUUAAAAUGUCUCAUGAAUAUUUACUCGUUCUGAGGUAUCUUUUGCAUGAUCAAUGAUUUCUUCUGCACAGAAACAAUACUUAGCUAACAUGAAACCAAAAGAGUAGAUAUUUUUACACUGAUCUUCCAAUAAUAGCAGGGAAACAAUUGAUUCCAUGCAAGCACAUCAUCAGCAUCCAUGCCCCGUGAUUUCCACUUGCAUGGUUUGCAUUUUGCCAAGGAACAUCCAGCCCUUCUCAUAGGAAUCACAUGCACUUGUGCAAAAGAUGCAUAAAGAGGCACAUUCAUAAUAACAGAUCUCAGGGAAAGUUUUGACUUAUAAUACACUCCCAAAACAGACCACGUCAAAAAUUAAUGAUAGCACGUUAUUGUUUGAAUAAAGUUUAUCUUUCAUCUAGUAAUAUUCCAACACAU